CACGUGUAGACUGUGACAGACCAGAUGAACCAGAGCGUCCUAAAACUCACUGUGAGCACCAAAGAGACAGUGUUCAGACUACAAGUUCAGAAGGACGUCCUAUAGCUGGAGCCUAUGUACCCCAAUGUGAUGCUAAUGGACAGUACACUCCUAGACAGUGCCACGGUUCCACUGGACAUUGUUGGUGUGUGGACGGUAGGGGACAGGAGAGAAGAGGAACCAGGACUCCACCUGGAACACCACGUGUAGACUGUGACAGACCAGAUGAACCAGAGCGUCCUAAAACUCACUGUGAGCACCAAAGAGACAGUGUUCAGACUACAAGUUCAGAAGGACGUCCUAUAGCUGGAGCCUAUGUACCCCAAUGUGAUGCUAAUGGACAGUACACUCCUAGACAGUGCCACGGUUCCACUGGACAUUGUUGGUGUGUGGACGGUAGGGGACAGGAGAGAAGAGGAACCAGGACUCCACCUGGAACACCACGUGUAGACUGUGACAGACCAGGUGA